GGCAUUCUAGGCCAAUGCGAUACCAACUUUGGCCUAGAAUGCCGAAGACGCUGGUUCGAAUCCAGCCGGUGCCC
rnacentral:tRNA from 1 species